UGACAACGAUGGCAGCCGGGGGAGGCGCGGUCGCACGAGUUGUCAGCUCCCGGGCUUGAGCUGAGGGAGCAGAGGGCCCCGACCCCCUUGUCGGCAGGAGCAGCCGGUGGUGGCCUUUGGUCUGACAAACUGGCAAGAGCUGAGGGAGCAGCAGGAGCUGUUGCGCAGCCAUUGGUACCUGUAUUGGGGAAACAUAGCAUACAAGCAAGAAGCUUACAGCCUCAGUGGCGAAAACUUUUUCAUGUCAGAGACCGAGAACUCUUGCAGUCGUUUAUGUCAUCCCUUCUUCUCCAGACAGAAGAUACCAAAAAGUUGCAAU